rnacentral:rRNA from 1 species
CCCUUAGAUGUUCUGGGCCGCACACGCGCUACACUGAAGGAGGCAGCGUGUACUCCUGGAUCGAAAGAUUUGGGUAACCCGCGAAUCUCCUUCGUGCUAGGGAUUGAAGUUUGCAAUUAUCCUUCAUGAACGAGGAAUUCCCAGUAAGUGCAAGUCAUAAGCUUGCGCUGACUACGUCCCUGCCCUUUGUACACACCGCCCGUCGCUACUACCGAUUGAAUGAUUUAGUGAGGACUUCGGACUGGGACCGAUGCGGCUUUCGGGCUGCGUCGGUAUUCUGGAAAGAUGUCCAAACUGUAUCAUUUAGAGGAAGUAAAAGUCGUAACA